UAAGGAAUAUUGGUCAAUGGACGGAAGUCUGAACCAGCCAUGCCGCGUGGAGGAUGAAGGCCCUCUGGGUUGUAAACUUCUUUUAUUUGGGACGAAACACUCUUUAUCUAGAGAGCUUGACGGUACCAGAUGAAUAAGCACCGGCUAACUCCGUGCCAGCAGCCGCGGUAAUACGGAGGGUGCAAGCGUUAUCCGGAUUCACUGGGUUUAAAGGGUGCGUAGGCGGAUUUGUAAGUCCGUGGUGAAAUCUCUAAGCUUAACUUGGAAAUUGCCGUGGAUACUAUAAGUCUUGAAUAUUGUGGAGGUUAGCGGAAUAUGUCAUGUAGCGGUGAAAUGCAUAGAUAUGACAUAGAACACCAAUUGCGAAGGCAGCUGGCUACACAACUAUUGACGCUGAGGCACGAAAGCGUGGGGAUCAAACA
rnacentral:rRNA from 1 species